rnacentral:lncRNA from 1 species
GGAGGACGCUCAAGACAAUUCUUUAUAUGCCUCCUUAAACUGCAUGUGCCACACUUUGGACGACGAUUUAAGACUAGACCAUAGUUCUUACACUUUACUUUUUGAACUUCUUCAUUUUCUUCUACCACCUCAAAGUGUUUUCAAACAUAUGAGCGCAUUGUAGAAGUACGAGGGAUGAUUUAACUUGAACUCUUGAAUUGCGAAUUUGAGAUUGAAUUGAGAAUUGAG